rnacentral:rRNA from 1 species
AGUGAACGCUGGCGGUAGGCCUAACACAUGCAAGUCGAACGGCAGCACAGUAAGAGCUUGCUCUUACGGGUGGCGAGUGGCGGACGGGUGAGGAAUACAUCGGAAUCUACUUUUUCGUGGGGGAUAACGUAGGGAAACUUACGCUAAUACCGCAUACGACCUACGGGUGAAAGCAGGGGAUCUUCUGACCUUGCGCGAUUGAAUGAGCCGAUGUCGGAUUAGCUAGUUGGCGGGGUAAAGGCCCACCAAGGCGACGAUCCGUAGCGGGUCUGAGAGGAUGAUCAGCCACACUGGAACUGAGACACGGUCCAGACUCCUACGGGAGGCAGCAGUGGGGAAUAUUGGACAAUGGGCGCAAGCCUGAUCCAGCCAUACCGCGUGGGUGAAGAAGGCCUUCGGGUUGUAAAGCCCUUUUGUUGGGAAAGAAAAGCAGCAGGUUAAUACCCCGCUGUUCUGACGGUACCCAAAGAAUAAGCACCGGCUAACUUCGUG